AUUCCUUGGGACACAAGUCUCUAUAUGGUAGUCAAACUUUGUCAAUAUAGUCCAAACAAGAGAAUACUUUUUCUCUUAAGUGGUGACUCAUCAACCUUGGUCAUCAAGGUCUCAUGCAAGGAGACACAUGUCCACUCACAUGAGGGAAUCCAAGUGGCCUUCUUCUUUUAUUCACUCACAUGACCGUUAUAAUAAUAUAUAGAAUUUCAUAGGCAUAACAUGCACUCAAAUUCUAUUGAAAUGAAAAGGAACAUUCCAAGAAUCUAUACUUUCUAGCCUAUAACCCUCUAGACUCAAAACUUUGACAAGACUGCCCAACUAACUGGGCUUAUAUUUUUCUUUUUUUUCCCUUUUGCCCUGGUGUCUUGGUAGCAACUGGCUGCAUGUCUUCUGGGUCG
rnacentral:lncRNA from 1 species